UUCUCAAAUUCUUCUCAAUUGUUAUCCCCUCGUUCGUAUCUCAAUUAGUCCGGUGCUUCGUUCAAGUUUUCUUCUAGGCGAAUUGUGGUCUCUUCAUUCUCAUGUAUCUCUAUUCAUUCUUGGUAUCCUCAUUCACUUGUAAAUUCUUACGGGUGAUUCAAUCAGGACUUCUUCAAUUUUGUGCUCUAUCUCUAUCUCCAAUAUUUUCAAGAAGAAUAGGCGGUAUGCUAAAUCUGUUGCUUUUCAUCAAUUUAACUUGAUGUGGGAGAAGCAUAACAUAAUUCCGUACGCAUUGUGAUGUCGAUCUCUUUGAAUCUAUCAUCUCGUUUUAUCAAGAUCAUAUUCUUGCAUCGUUGUCCAUUUAACCGGAGUGUUGUAUCCUCUGUCAAGUUUUGCCUCAUUUUCCUACCGAAGUGCUACCCAAAUUUCUUUUGAAUUCUUUCUUAUUCCUUAUGUCAUCUUCAUCUCUUUACAACCUUCAAGUUUUGUUGGAUUCAAUCAUUUGUCAAAGAAACAACUAAUCUUUUCCUAUUCCCUUCUCUUCCUCUUCCCGUUUCAUUCUUUGAUCGCGGGUCGAGAUCUCUUGUAAUAGACGGGAACUAACGCUCCAGAAGAUUCCCGUUUUAUUUAAUUG
rnacentral:lncRNA from 1 species